GUCCUCGUAGCUCAGUUGGAUAGAGCGACGCUUUCCUAAAGCGUAGGCCGCAAGUUCGAUUCUUGCCGAGGACA
rnacentral:tRNA from 1 species